rnacentral:misc_RNA from 1 species
AAGUCGUAACAAGGUUUCCGUAGGUGAACCUGCGGAAGGAUCAUUAUAAAAAAUUCGGGCUUGGGUUUAACCCAAGACCUGCCCCCAAAAGGGACCUUUUGUGCACUGUAAAAUUUUUUCACUUAAGCUUUGUCUGAUUGAUAUUUGUACCUGAAAGGGACAAGAAUUUUAAUCUAAAACAACUUUUAACAAUGGAUCUCUUGGCUCUC